rnacentral:rRNA from 1 species
AGACCGAUAGCGAACAAGUACAGUGAUGGAAAGAUGAAAAGCACUUUGAAAAGAGAGUGAAACAGCACGUGAAAUUGUUGAAAGGGAAGGGCUUGCAAGCAGACACGGUUUUACCGGGCCAGCGUCGAAAAGGGGGGAGGAACAAGAACUCGAGAAUGUGGCGCGCACCUUCGGGUGCGCGUGUUAUAGCUCGUGUUGACGCCUCCAUCCUUUUUCGAGGCCUGCGAUUCUAGGACGCUGGCGUAAUGGUUGCAAGCCGCCCGUCUUGAAACACGGACCAAG